GACUAAUUAAAAAACAGGGCUAAUCUGGAAAUCCUCAAAAUGAAAGGAAUAUCCUGGAGUGAGCAGCAAAUCAUAGGAGAUUAUCACAUUCAUGGCACCAAAAGCAGGAAGAAGAACCAGGAUCGGAGGAUGGGACUGCGAUAUUAGCGGCACCAGGGGAGCUGUGAAAGUUUUCCAACAGAUUAUUCUGGCUAGACUCCAACACCAACUACUGAAUCUCUGAUGGUUUCAUUCUCCUCUAUAAACAUAGAUAUGAAAUGUAUUUUAUUUCUUAUUGGAGACUGUUUAGAGUAAAUUCUUCUUACCUGUCUACACAGAACAGAGGAAGCCUUGGCUAUUAAAUGAAAAUGUAAAGGCUUUUUCUAAAAAUAUUAUAUAGUAAAUGUAUACUUUAAAAUCCUGUACAAUUUGCCACUUUGCUUGUAUAAUUUUGGCUUAAAACAUUUAAGGGUCUUUUUCUUUUCCUUCCCAAGGGAAAAAAAAAAAUCUUAAUAGUGAUAGAAAGGUAGAACAUUUAGUCCUGCAUACUUUUUAAAGAUUUACCACAGCAGGCAAUUGAUGUUUUGUUUUUUAAUUUUGACCUUUAUUGUACCCUGCAAAGAACUAAACUUUCUGCCACACAUUAUCAUGGCAGGGGUGUCUAAUUCUUAUUAGUGUUGGUAAAUACCCAAUACCCUGUUAUUUAUAGAAGUGUUGAUGUAAAUUGUUAAACUACUCAUGCAUGAUGUGAUAUCAGCUUGGACCAUAGUAAAGAUCCCAAAUAUUGUAUGCUUUGAUCUAAAUGGUAUAAUCCACUGUACCAAAAUAACUUAA